UUUCGCGUCCUCCUCCAACUUAAUGACACUUUGUCGGGCGUGACGGAUAUCGCGCGCGCGCAGAGCUUUCGAAUUGUCACGUGUAUCGCGCGCGAGAUUCUUCCUAUCGUAGUACGUGGCAUGCGUAUCGGGCGACUAAGCGGAAUACCUCGACGAUGAGACGACGACGAUGACACGCACGGUAUGCGCGGCCCAUCGGCGAGCCUGGCACCCACUAACCGCUAACCGGUGAACUAACCGCGGGUGGCUGGCUAAGGUACGCGGCUCGGCUCGCUCGCUCGCUCAUUCGCGAUGAUAAUGUAUGUAUCUAUGUGCGUAAGCCACGUGAGAGAACGGCGGGCAGCAGCAUCUUUCGACGGCCGUUCGUCGAGGAACGAGGGAGAGGGAGAGAGCGAGAGAGGGGAAGUCGUAUACUUCGCCCAUAAGAGAGAGCCGGUCUCCUUCUCUCUCUUCCUCUCCUUCUCUUUCUUUCGUUACAUACAUACACACACACACACACACACACACAUAUAUAUCUCGUCCCUCAGUCUCGUCACGGAUUCGUGGAGAGAUCGGACCCUCUUCGUGGCUUUCGGUCGCUCUUUUGGCCGACUUCUCUCGCGGAAUUAAUCGAAACGCACACAUACGCACACGUACAUGCACGUUAUAGUGAGAAAGAUGGCACGAAGCGGAAUAACUCGACGCGUAACCGCAACUCUUUUUCCUUUACAAAUUGUUCGAGCCGUUGUAACGUGUCAUGAGAGAAGACAAGAAGCCAAGGCAAGAAACGCGAGUAUCGAACGACUUUAAUAUACCAGGCGAUCGUUUUCGAAAAGCUCUCCUCUUUUCUCCUUUUCAACGGAUAUCGAUACUCGAUGUCGGCGAAUAAUUUUGACACUCCGUUAUACGCUCCGUUAAUCUCUUAAAAAAUUUGAUAACCACGUCUUAUUCAAUAUAAUUUAUUAGUAACGAUAAUUUACAUUUGAUAAAUUCGUACAAUAUAUGAUCUACGUACGCACGCGUUUUGUUUUUCUCUCUUUUUUGCGUGUGUUCCUAAAAAAUAAAAUUUUUAUUAUCAAUUCUCCCUUCGUAGCGAGGCAUAAGAUAGAAAAGAAGGAUUCUUCAUCUCGUUCCAAUUUCCUCCGAUAUCAAUCAGGGUUUCCUUUUCUCGAACGUCGCCGUGACUUUGGUCUUUACCUCGCGAGAUAAUUAACGGGGCCGGCUUUUUUUAUUCGCCACCCUGUAGAUCCACGCUGCGUUCUCACUCGCGUGGCAUAUCUCUCAUCGACGAGGUCCGAUGAAGGUCGCACGAACUAACGCGAAAGAACGCCUCUCCUGCCCGAAACCACGGUAUAGUUUAAUGCACACGCUUGUGACAUUCACGGUGCACGCGUACUUUCGGAAUUCACGAAAGAGAGAGAGAGAGAGAGAGAGGAGCAAGUCCGUAAUUUGUAAGGUUCAACCUUAUGUUAGACGAGACCGUGUGUGUGUACGACACGCGCGAUUAAAGAGCGCCGGGACCCUGUAAAUUACGGGCAUCGUAAUUUGGAAAUAUGGCGCCAGAUAAUUUAUACACAGAUACGGCUUUAAAUAAUGCUCAUUUGAACGAAUCUUAUGAAGUUCGAGAUUUAUGGGACUCGCUUCUCAAUUAUCAUCAUUGUUUCGCUAAUAGAAUUCGAUGUAAUAUUCAACAGCGGCGAUCCGGCAUGAUCGUAAAAAAGCUACUGCCCGGAGGCUGCGCCCCAUUUAUGGUUAAGGCAGUCCCGCGCAAAUAAGCGCGACCUUCCUCGCAGGAGGAAGUACGCAGGUACGGCAUGCGUUUUCGGCGCCGGCUCGGAUUCCGUUCGUCGCCUUUUUGGCGAAUCGGUGCACACCCACGUCUUUAUACCCGGUGACUGAGAAAAUACUAUAUAAUGUAUGUACGAUCUUCCGAGAAUUGGACGAGAUUUCGUCUGCGUGAAACGUUCAUGGAUCGACAAGAAGACGCGAGAACCGGCGGCGUUAAUUAAGGUCGGUCGAGCGCGCAGGAAUAUAUAGGCAGAUUUUAUCGUCGGCCAUUAUGGCUUAGAAUACGACAGAGUCCGGCUACGGCAAUACGCAACGACUCCAUUAACGGACAGGCCAAUCCGCAACGACGCGACUCCCCGCGUUCAGGAUUCGUUAAAACGCAAGUUGGAGAAAAACAUCUCGACGACGCGAGAUAUUUAUCUCUCCUUUUUUUCCUUCUUAUACUUUCCGCGAGCUUUUAUUUUGCCGGCGACGCGAGUCUGUACGCGGAUGAAGAUGGCGGAUACUACGAUAAUUUAUUAACUAGUCCGGCGAGUUGGUUCCCCGGACCUGUUGGUGGAGUCUCGACACCGGCUGGUUUCGCGCCCAGACGAAAUCGCAGCGAGAUGCGAAAGCGUUUUAUCCGCUCGAGCAAACCAUCCCAUUCGUCUUUUAUUCUCGCGUGUUUUGCUCGACAUAUUUUUGCGCGCGAUUUAAUUUAUACCUAAUCGAGAUUGAUAACCGAUAUUAUCCGCGCAUCUCGCACGAGGCGUUUUACAUAUGCAAAUGCGACGAGGCGUACACGAGAGUUACGGAGGUUUCUCACCGGAAUUCGAAUUCAACGCGACCUCGUGCGCGUUGCGAGAGGGGAAACACGACAAGUAGUAAUGAUCGUAAUAAUGUCUCGCCAAGCGACAGCGUACGGUUCGUACGGUAAAGAGCAAAGUUCAGCGUUCCUUCGCCGUUUUACUUCUUGAAGCGGCGAUCUCUGCGGAUAGUUUUUGAAAAGCGUUAUGAAUAUACAUGCUAUGUUAAGGAUGCCGAUCGUUUCAUCCACGAUCAUGACAUAAAACUUAACGGAUUUAUCUAAUUAGAAAAGGCGAUUUAAAAGUGAGAAGAAAAAAAAUAUUACACACGUGUAUACAGAUGCGGAAAAUAUUCUCCGCUUCUUAUUCAAUGUCACGAUAGUGGCAUAUAUGUUCUUCAUUCUGAGAGAAUUAUUUUUCAAAAGAAUUUAUUCUUCGCUACUUAACAUGUACGUAUUACCAAGAACGAUCGACAAUCUAAGGUCAGCUUGGUUUUUGCGCAAAGCAAUCUAGCGUGCAGUAUCCAUAAUGCAUCAACAAGUUUUUAUCAUUCGCUCUCUGAGAUUCGUAUCUCGUAGUGCGUUUUGCAUACGCGACGAAUUCAGCUGGUGCACGAGAAGGAUGCGCGGCGAGAAAACUGCGUCACGCGGUAUCUGACAAAUAUAUAUAUAUAUAUACACACAUAUAUCUCGCUGACAAGCGACGCAUCGAGCAUAAUCUCACGUAAUUGACUGCAUAAAAUUCAUAAUUACAUAGCCUGGACGUUUAUAUGUUGUACUUGGGCUUUUAUGUAACUAUGCGCGCAACGUGGACUUUAACAGUCAGUCGAGAUGCAUGUGCGUUGCGUGGAACAACGCGUAUAAGCAUUACGAUCGAUAGGAUAUAGACGUCCGGGAUAUUUGAUCCGCAAUUACAUUAAAAAAAAAAGAGAUAAAAGAAAGGGAGGAUGAAUUAAAAAACGUUAAUACUUAUUUUCGACAAGAAUACGCGCGUCGUAAAAUUACGACAUCUCUGAAUCUUCGACAUCUAAUCGAUUAAUCGUUUAUUUUAAUUA